GUUUGGAGCAGGUGACCAGGCCUGAGUCUCCCCGGCCGGGUGGCGAGACUCCCCGAGGACCCCGGUAGGCGCGGGGGUGGGGGAAUGCCCCAAGGUUUGCGCACCGUCCUCCCAGCCCUGAAUGCCCCAGGUCAGCCGUUCUCCCCGCUCACCGGCAUCAGUCGGGCAGGCUGUGGGGAGGCAGGGUUUGGCGCGCUCUGAGGAUGCAGUCAUCAAGACAGAGCUGCCCAGCAGUCGAGUGACUUCCGUUUGCACAGUGCUUUGGACAGCUUUCAGCGAGCGAAAUCUUCGCACGAACGUCGGAGGUUGAGACAGGUUAUGGUUCUCUCCGAAAUGAAGAAAAUGAGACCCAGAGAAGAGAAGGAUUUCUUCAAGGUCACAUGGUGAAUAUGUCACAGCCAGAACUAGAACUCAGGGCCCUUCCCAAACGGCUUGCUGGCCUUCCUGUUACACAUGGACCCCGAAGGUAAAUAAUGAUUGACUGGGGUCCUGUGUCCAGCAGUGUGGGAGGAGCUCCAUGCUGUUACUUAAUGUAAUCUCCAGCCCCCAGGGAGAUAGGUAUUAUGGAUAAUCCCAUUUUAUAGCUGUGGAGGGUGAGGCUCAGAGAGGGAAAGAACACCACCAAGGUCACACAGCCUGCAAGGGCUGGAAAGGACUUUGAUCCCAGGUGGAAAGGCUCUGAAGCCAGUGCUCUUACCCCAUUGGCCCUGACUCUCCUGUGGUCUUCCUCCCUGGCCUCAGUGGACUGCAGUCCUGUUGGGUGUGUCCCCUGCUGUCCUUUAAUCUCUACACUUGCCGGGCUCCGGGAAAGUUUCAGCCCUGAUGGAAUUACCUCCCGGGAGGCUGGAGACACGUCAGAGCUCCUGAGGUCCCCUGAUGUGACAUUUUGCUGAGGAAAAGCUCCCUUCCUGGAGCCAAAGAAUAUUCAUUGUCCAGGCACAGGAAAAACACACCACGUGUCCCCUGACAGUCCAAGGAUGAGUCCUGACUGUCUGGACACGCUCAGGGUGUACCCAUGGCCUUUGGGUGAACCAACUGCACCUUGUCUCCAGGUCAGAGGUAUAGUCGAGGGCCGUCUGUCUGCCUAGUGUCUGGGUCCAGCCGGAGGGCCGGAGAUGGCAGUCCCGGGAGGCAAGGCCCAGGAUCCUGGCCGUGGAGUCACGUGAUUGCCCCGCAGGCUGCUGUGAGGUUGAGGGGGCGUGAGCCCUGGAAUCCGCGGGGGUGUCUGAAGCGUGUUGAACACAACUGUCAGGUUCAGAACGGAACUCGCCACACAGCUGCAGCACGGACUGGGAAGGGCCCUCAGUGGGCCAGCCCUGGGGCAGCUUGAGGGCCCGCCUGUGUCACAGCAGCACGUUUCCUCCCCUGGAGCUCAGACUCUCCGCUGCUCAAUGAAAGGACAGGCACCAGCACGGGAAACGUUAAUGCAGAUCACCAUUAAACAAUAUCAUGGAACAGGAGAACCCCCCCCUUUAUGGUCCUAUGAAACAGUUGGCAUGUAUAUUUACCUCUGUAUAUGUUGUGUGAAAAAUAGAGAAAUUUGU